AGAAUAAAGGUAUCAAUGAUGUCCUCUGCCUCGUAUGCGAUGUCUCUGAUUUCAGCUAUGCAAUUGCGAACGCGCUCAUCAUGGUCUUGCUUGCUAUCUGCAUCUUUCAAGAAGCACCGAAUCCGCUUCAGUUCAGUUUGCAACUGCUCAAUUCCCUGCCGCACGCCAUAAAGUGAGCUUGCUUCACGAACAACGGCAUCAGCAAUUCUUUCAAUGGCAAAGGUAACAAUAGCCUCAACCAUUGUGUUCUUUUUUUUUUUUUAAUAACCAAAGAGGUGAAAAAUAUCUCAACUUGUUUAGAUGAUACACUUUUGAUGGGUAUCUUUGCUUGAGGAAAUAAGGAAUUGCAUUUAGAACAUUUCAUUUUCUUCUUAAUCUUUCCCUAAUGUCUUCUGUGAUUAUUGAUUCUUUGCUAGGAACGAGAGCAAGAUACUAGGCUUUGGAGCAGAGCAAACCAAAAAUUAAAAGUGAAAAAGCAAUUAGCUUCCUCUUAUUUUUUGCUUAAAUAAAUAAUAGAUGAACAAUCUAAAGAUUCUCAACAUUUAAAGAGGUAAUAGAUGAACAAUGAAUAUAAUACAAAUUUUAAUAGUAAAGGAAGUAAUGAGAAGAAUUGGACUUUCAUUUACUAUAAAGAAAGCAGUAAUUUAUCUAUGUGAAUUAUUUUUUAUUUAUUUGUAAUUGACAAUUGAAACACUCUUUUUUAUCAAUUUUAUAAGUUCUUAUUUUUAUUUUAUGUGUUGAUCAAAUUAAUCAGAUAAUAGGAAUCAAUACAAUUAAUUGAUCAAAUUAAAAACUUUAAAGAUAAUAAUAAUUUUUCAUAUUACUUUAGACCAAUCCAAUCUGGUUCUUAGAAAAAUAAAAGGGUUAAGAUAUCAUGUAGUUUUCUUCUGCCCUUGUUAACUGAGUGAUAAAUCCAAGACAAUAAUGUUCAUACCCAAGAACAAAUUUAUUAUAUUAAACAAUGAGUUUGUUACAUGAUUUUCAGAAAGGGAAGAACAAGAAUUCUGCCUUGGAAGUGAUUUGUAGUUCAUUACAAGAAUUGUUCCUGUUUCCCCAAUGGCCUGGUUACAGAUAAAAUAAAGAC
rnacentral:lncRNA from 1 species